rnacentral:rRNA from 1 species
GUCUACGGCCAUACCACCCUGAACGCGCCCGAUCCCGUCUGAUCUCGGAAGCUAAGCAGGGUCGGGCCUGGUUAGUACUUAGAUGGGAGACCGCCUGGGAAUACCGGGUGCUGCAGGCU